rnacentral:rRNA from 1 species
CAGUCGCCGCGGUAAUACGAAGGGUGCAAGCGUUACUCGGAAUUACUGGGCGUAAAGCGUGCGUAGGUGGUGGUUUAAGUCCGUUGUGAAAGCCCUGGGCUCAACCUGGGAAUUGCAGUGGAUACUGGGUCACUAGAGUGUGGUAGAGGAUAGUGGAAUUUCCGGUGUAGCAGUGAAAUGCGUAGAGAUCGGAAGGAACAUCUGUGGCGAAGGCGACUAUCUGGGCCAACACUGACACUGAGGCACGAAAGCGUGGGGAGCAAACAGGAUUAGAUACCCGGUAGUCCCUGUCUCUUAUACA